GCAUGAUGAAACCAAACUCAAAACAGCUGGAAUUACCGUCAGAUUGGAAAGUGGUGAGCAAUGGUUUUCUGAUC